AGACCAAUCACAUUGCUCCAGGCGUGUCCGGAAGUGUUCGUCAUCCCAGUUUGAGAGAUCUCGAUGAGUGAUCAUGCGGGGUAAGAUCUUAGGGGGUUUAAUCCUUAGAACCACCCAAAUUAGAUCAUGAGCAGACAGGAAAGGAACCGGACACUGCCUAUGGGAGAUGACCUUGGAUGGGCUGUCAACGAUACAUAAGUCCAACCACGUGUGUGCGUUUCCUCUGUGAUGUGUGGGCGAAUACCGCACCAGAUGUAAAUCGUUCCUAGUGAUAAACGAGUGAAGCUGGGAACUGUCAAAGGUAGAUGAGGACGAUAUACAGCAGCAGCUAGCACUCGAGGAGCACCAGGGAUCAACACCUCAACAAAUAUGAAUUCCGGUCUGGAGCAAUAUUCGCUCUCCGAGGAGGCAAUAAUCCUUGCAGAAAGUGAUUGGUGAACAUAAAUUGCUACACCACCACCACCCCUGCCGACCCGAUCACACCGAUGUAGAACAUAGUCAUCAAGUUUUGCCGCAAGGUCAGUCAUAUAUGGUUUAAGCCAGGUUUCGGAAACCGCCAGUAUAUGAAAGAAGUUAUCUACUAUAUACUCUCUUAGUUCAUCAAUAUGUGCUAUGACUGAUUGAGCGUUUACAUGGCCCACCCGAAGCCCAACUGCCGGAUCGACAGGUAAGUUCGGAGAUGUUGCGGAAAGUUGUCAUAAGGUGGUAAUCUUCUCUAGGUCGUCCCGGCUCUCGAUGCGAAGCAGUGUAGAUGAUCCAGUCUUCCGCACCAGAAUGGUUCCACGGCGAGUCCACACCCACAAUUCUGGAUGAGGUUUUGCACGGGCACGUGCUUCACUAAGG